rnacentral:rRNA from 1 species
UACGGGGGGGGCAAGCGUUGUUCGGAAUUACUGGGCGUAAAGGGCUCGUAGGCGGCCAACUAAGUCGGAUGUGAAAUCCCCAGGCUUAACCUGGGAACUGCAUCCGAUACUGGAUGGCUUGAAUCCGGGAGAGGGAUGCAGAAUUCCAGGUGUAGCGGUGAAAUGCGCAGAUAUCGGGAGGAACACCUAUGGCGAAGGCAGCUCGCUGGGACGUUACUGACGCUGAGACGCGAAAGCCAGGGGAGCGAACGGG